rnacentral:lncRNA from 1 species
GAGGCAAGGGGUCGGAGUCGGCGGCCUCCGAUUGGCGGAGUCUUAGCCCUCCUCGGUGCGCGCUGGGAUUGGCCGGACCGUUAGGCCAGGCGAGGAAAUGGCGGCCGAGCGCGGCGAACGGGGAGGUGUCGAGGCGCGCACUUCAUUUGUUACUGCGCGGAUUGAGCUCGGAGUCCGGAGAGGAGAGGAGGGGGUGGGGCCGACUCUGUGACGUCGGGGCCAAGAGCGCUCUCAUUGGCUGAAGUUGAUGGAGUCAAUCAAGCUCAGUUGCGUCGUACUGGCAUGGGAUUGGCUGUCGCUGCUUCACCGUCGACCCCCGGUCCCGCACGGAAGCCCUAAGUGACGUCAGUCUUCAGUUCCCAUGGUAACCCGGAACCGGGGAGAGGGGGUGGGGCCGGCGCGCGCCCCUAGAGCGGAUCCGUUGACGCCGCAGGUGGCCCAGUGUUUCGUUAGUUCGAAUCCUGGGCGCGGACAUGGCACUGCUCAUCAGACCACGCUGAGGCAGCGUCCCACAUGCCACAACUACUAGAA